rnacentral:lncRNA from 1 species
GAAAAACUUGGAAAAUUAAACCUGGAUGAGAACUUAGAUAACCUUUCAUUCUUUUACAGACGGAGAGACAGAACCAGAGGGCAACCCACCAGGAAAGCCACUGAGCUGUGUGCACCAAGCCCAUCACUCAAGGUUAUUUGGCAUCAUGAAGACCGAGUUUGAAGGUACUCUGCAUCAUGGCAUUAAGCUAGAACCAAAUUUUGAGGAGCUAGGACUCCCUAAUUGAUUUGGUGGCUUUCUCCUUGUUUCCUUAAAAAAUCCCCCCACCAGCCCCCUUCUUAGCAAAGGUGCUUUCUAUUCAACCUGUCCC